AAAUGACUCUCGGCAACGGAUAUCUCGGCUCUUGCAUCGAUGAAGAACGUAGCGAAAUGCGAUACUUGGUGUGAAUUGCAGAAUCCCGUGAACCAUCGAGUCUUUGAACGCAAGUUGCGCCUGAAGCCAUUAGGCCGAAGGCACGCCUGCCUGGGUGUCACA
rnacentral:rRNA from 3 species